GAUUCCUUCAGUAAUGGCGAAUGAACGGGGAAAAGCUCAGCAAAGAAAUCGAGGACUCCGGCCUUGAGUUGUGGACUUGAGAGGUAUCGCCAAUGGUGGCACAGGUGGGGGCCUCUUGGAAAAGGGCACCACAGAGGGUGUGAGUCCUGUUUGCCAUCUGUAGUCCGCUGUGUACGGCAUGCCUCCUCCGAGUCACGUUCCUUGGAAUUGGAGCGCGAAGGUGGUGGUGGCUUUCAUCUCAAGCUAAGUAUGGGUUCGAGACCGAUAGCAAACAAGUACCAUGAGGGAAAAUUGAAAAGAGCUUUGGAAAGAGAGUUAAAAGUGCCCGAACUUGCUGAUAGGGAAGCGAAGGGAGCUGACGUUGCUUGGUAACAUCUUCCGCGCAGGACUAGGAUGGGUUCUGAUUGCAAUGUGUGUUGUGUUUCUUGCCAUGCGUGUCAAUGCCAAGUAAUGAGUGGGGAGAGCUCCAGGGAUAAUGAUUGUUUCUGUCCCCGGGUAGACGAAUAUGUCUGGGUGCAUCCAUUUGUGGGCUGAAAAAUUGGUGGUUGGUUGCAGCUCCCUGCCUACGAGGCAAUUGGGGUGUAGCCCUGACACGCAGACGAGGACAAAGUGCUUCUGUUCGACCCGUCUUGAAACACGGACCAAGGAGUCUGACACUCAUGCAAGCUCGUUGGUGGGUAAACUUCUUUGCGUAAUUAAGGUGUCUGUUGUGAUUUGUGCACCAACGCCCGACCAAUCAAUUGAGAGAGGUUUGAGUGUGAGCAUUUCUGUCAGGACCCGAAAGAUGGUGAACUAUGCUUGAGAAGGGUAAAUUCAGGGGAAACUCUGAUUGAGGCUCGUAGCGAUACUGACGUGC
rnacentral:rRNA from 1 species